rnacentral:rRNA from 1 species
AAUAGAUACCCUGGUAGUCCACGCCGUAAACGAUGGGCACUAGGUGUGGGAGGUGUCGACUCCUUCCGUGCCGAAGCUAACGCAUUAAGUGCCCCGCCUGGGGAGUACGGCCGCAAGGCUAAAACUCAAAGGAAUUGACGGGGGCCCGCACAAGCAGCGGAGCAUGUGGUUCAAUUCGACGCAACGCGAAGAACCUUACCUGGGCUUGACAUGUUCCUGACAGGUGUGGAAACACACCCUCCCUUCGGGGCAGGAUCACAGGUGGUGCAUGGCUGUCGUCAGCUCGUGUCGUAAGAUGUUGGGUUAAGUCCCGCAACGAGCGCAACCCCCGUCGCAUGUUGCCAGCAUUUAGUUGGGGACUCAUGCGAGACUGCCGGUGACAAACCGGAGGAAGGUGGGGAUGACGUCAAGUCAUCAUGCCCCUUAUGUCCAGGGCUACACACGUGCUACAUUGGCCGGUACAAAGGGCUGCGAUACCGUGAGGUGGAGCGAAUCCCAUAAAGCCGGUCUCGGUUCGGAUUGAAGGCUGAAACUCG